AGCCCCUGCCUGACCACGUCAGCAUUGUGGAACCCAAAGAGAAGUUCCUGCCAACCACCCCCAUCUCUGAGCAGAAGGGAGCCAAGCCAGAGCAGCAGGCGCAGCCCCCUGCCAUGCCCCAGCCUGUGCCCACCGUGUAAUGGGAUGCUGAACACCAGGACGUAAAGUUCUUGCAUUCGGCUCAAA